UGGGGAAUAUUGCACAAUGGGCGCAAGCCUGAUGCAGCCAUGCCGCGUGUAUGAAGAAGGCCUUCGGGUUGUAAAGUACUUUCAGCGGGGAGGAAGGGAGUAAAGUUAAUACCUUUGCUCAUUGACGUUACCCGCAGAAGAAGCACCGGCUAACUCCGUGCCAGCAGCCGCGGUAAUACGGAGGGUGCAAGCGUUAAUCGGAAUUACUGGGCGUAAAGCGCACGCAGGCGGUUUGUUAAGUCAGAUGUGAAAUCCUCGGGCUCAACCUGGGAACUGCAUCUGAUACUGGCAAGCUUGAGUCUCGUAGAGGGGGGUAGAAGUCCAGGUGUAGCGGUGAAAUGCGUAGAGAUCUGGAGGAAUACCGGUGGCGAAGGCGGCCCCCUGGACGAAGACUGACGCUCAGGUGCGAAAGCGUGGGGAGCAAACAGG
rnacentral:rRNA from 1 species